GACGAACGCUGGCGGCGUGCCUAAUACAUGCAAGUAGAACGCUAAAGCUUGGUGCUUGCACCGAGCGGGUGAGUUGCGAACGUGUGAGCAACGCGUGUGUAACCUGCCUGGUAGCGGGGGAUCAUCAUGGAAAAGGGGAGCAAAUCCGGCAUAAGCUUCGGUUUCACAUGGCAUUUUGUAAAAAUUCGCAGUUGGAUCAUUAACACGUGGCCUAGCGUUGUAUUGGUGGGGUGGUGGGGUACCAGCGCACCAAGGCGACGACACAUAGACGACCUGAGCGGGUGAUCGGCCACACUGGGACGGAGACACGGCCCAGACGCACAGGGGAGGGAGCAGUAGGGAAUCGUCGGCAAGAGACGGAAGUCUGAGCGAGCUACGCCGCGUGAGUGAAGAAGGUUGUCGGAUCGUAAAGCUCGGUUGUAAGAGAAGAACGAGUGUGAGAGUGGAAAGUUCACACUGUGACGGUAUCUUACCAGAAAGGGACGGCUAACUACGUG
rnacentral:rRNA from 1 species